AAAAUAGGAAAAAAAAAAUCCCCGGACCGCUCCGGCCGUGUCCGCCGCCGCUUCCCGCAUCCUCUCCCGCCGCCGCCGCCUUCGCUCCUCACCAUGUGUAAGGCGGCGGGGAGCCCCGCCUGAGGUGAUUUGGCUUCUGCACAGUUAGGAGGAGCACCAAACCGAUGGGAGGUUUUGUCAGCCACACCUACAACUAUAAAAGAUGAAGCUGGUAAUCUAGUCCAGAUUCCAAGUGCUGCUACUUCAAGUGGGCAGUAUGUUCUUCCCCUUCAGAAUUUGCAGAAUCAACAAAUAUUUUCCGUUGCACCAGGAUCAGAUUCAUCAAAUGGUACAGUGUCCAAUGUUCAAUAUCAAGUGAUACCACAGAUCCAGUCAGCAGAUGGUCAGCAGGUUCAAAUUGGUUUCACAGGCUCUUCAGAUAAUGGGGGUAUAAAUCAAGAAAGCAGUCAAAUUCAGAUCAUUCCUGGCUCUAAUCAAACCUUACUUGCCUCUGGAACACCUUCUGCUAACAUCCAGAAUCUCAUACCACAGACUGG
rnacentral:sRNA from 1 species